rnacentral:rRNA from 1 species
UACAGAGGUCUCAAGCGUUGUUCGGAUUCAUUGGGCGUAAAGGGCGCGUAGGCGGCGGGGUAAGUCGGGUGUGAAAUCUCAGGGCUCAACCCUGAAACUGCACUCGAUACUGCUCUGCUUGAGGACUGGAGAGGAGACUGGAAUUCACGGUGUAGCAGUGAAAUGCGUAGAUAUCAGGAGGAACACCGAUGGCGAAGGCAGGUCUCUGGGCAUUAACUGACGCUGAGGAGCGAAAGCAUGGGGAGCGAACAGG